CAACGAAGACAAUAUGAGCACACGGUGGAUGCCUUGGCAAGCUGUGCCGAUGAAGGACGGGGUCACGCACCGAUAUGCACUGGGGAGCGGCGAACACGCAUUGAUCCAGUGGUCUCCGAAUGGGGCAACCCGCAUCAUUAACGAUGCACCACAUCUUUGUGGAGGGAACCGGGCCAACUGAAACAUCUUACGUAGCCCGAGGAAGAGUGAACAACACCCGUAGUAGUGGCGAACGAACCGGGUGACAGCCCAAACCAACAACGUGUCAAGCGGACUGGCGUUGCGUUGUUGGGGUUGGAGGGCGGAAUCGGCAGCCAGUCCGCUGCCCCGCAUCGCCCGCCUGACCUGCGAACGUGUUUGGAAUACACGACCGAAGAGCAUGACAGUUGCGUAGCAGGCAGGCGAGCCGAUGCGCUCCUUCCCCUGAGUAGGGCGCGGCACGAAGAACCGCGUUCGAAGCUGGGUCGACCACGACCCAAGGCAAACUACACAGCUUGACCGAUAGCGUAUAGUACCGUGAGGGAAUGGUGAAAAGAACCCCGGCGAGGGGAGUGAAAAGAACCUGAAACCGUGUGCUUCCAUGCCGUGGGAGGGCGAGUGACCGCCUGACCGCGUGCCUUUUGGAGUAUGAUCCGGCGAGUUAUCCGACGUGGCAAGGCUAAGCAAGUGAUAUGCGCAGCCGUAGUGAAAGCGAGCCUGAACAGGGCGUUCAGUCGCGGCGGAUAGACCCGAAACCGGGUGAGCUACCCAUGGGCAGGCUGAAGCGUCCCUAACAGGACGUGGAGGGCCGAACCGGUGUCUGUUGCAAAAGGCUCGGAUGACCUGUGGGUAGGGGUGAAAUGCCAAUCGAACUCGGAGAUAGCUGGUUCUCCCCGAAAUGUAUAGAGGUACAGCCGUAGGCUUGUCUGCCGCCUGAGGUAGAGCACUGGUGUUGUGCGGGGGCUUCACCGCUUACCAAGCGACGCCAAACUCCGAAUGCAGGCGGAUUGACCUACGAGUGAGACGGCGAGUGCAAACAUCCGUCGUCGAGAGGGAAACAACCCAGAUCUGCGGCUAAGGUCCCCAAGUGUUCGCUAAGUGGGAAAGGUUGUGUUGGUGCCUAGACAACCAGGAAGUUGGCUUAGAAGCAGCCACCUUUAAAAGAGUGCGUAACAGCUCACUGGUCGAGUGCCGAUGCGCCGAUGCUGUAACGGGGCAAAGCGAACCACCGAAGCCCAGAACGUUGCGUGAGCAACGUGGUAGGGGAGCGUCGUCGUCGCAGCGAAGCACGAGGGGAACCCCGUGUGGAGUGACGAGGAGUGCGAAUGCCGGAAUGAGUAACAGAGAAGUGGGGUGCGAACCCCCACCACCGAAAGCCUCAGGGUUCCGCCGCAAGGGUGAUCCGCGGCGGGUUAGUCGGGCCUAAGGCGUAGGCGAAAGCCGAAGCCGAUGGACAACAGGUCGAUAUUCCUGUACCACCCUGACUCGUUUGACCAAUGCAGAAUGCUGAGGGGGACGUUGCGCGGCGAGACGUGCGCCGUUGAAGCUGGUAGGGAGAUGAUGGAAGCAAAUCCCGUCAUCGUUGACCGAGAGGCGACCAAAAGGGUUGGGUGCAAGCCCGCCCGAUGCAACCGCACCUGUGCAGCCAAGAAAGGUCUGCUAGGGAGAGUUCAGAGUGACCGUACCGCAAACCGACACAGGUAGGCACGUUGAGGAAACGCAGGUGGACGAGUGACCCCUAGUUAAGGAACUCGGCAAAUUACUCCCGUACCUUCGGAAGAAGGGAGCCUGCAUACGUGUGACGGGGCUAGCCCUCGAGCGCGGAGCAGGGACACAAACCAGGCCCAAGCGACUGGAUACCAGAACCACAGCUCGCUGCUGAAGCCGUAAGGCGACGUAUAGCGGGUGAUGCCUGCCCAGUGCCGGAAGGUUAAAGGGCGGUGUGCAAGCACCAAACUGAAGCCCCGGUGAACGGCGGCUGUAACUAUAACAGUCCUAAGGUAGCGAAAUUCCUUGUCGGGUAAGUUCCGACCCGCACGAAAGGCAUCACGACUUGGGCACUGUCUCAACUAGGGACUCGGUGAAAUUGCAGGGGCCGUGAAGAUGCGGCCAACGCAUAGCAGGACAAAAAGACCCCGUGGAGCUUUACUACAACUUGCCAUUGGAUUCGUGGCGGAGAUGCGUAGCAUAGGUGGGAGGCUGAGAACGACCCCUUGCGGGGGGUCGGGAGCCAUCGGUGAAAUACCACUCUUCUCCGGCAUUGAUCCUCACCCGUUUGAAACGGGAACCGUGGCUGGUGGGUAGUUUGACUGGGGCGGUCGCCUCCCAAAAGGUAACGGAGGCGCACAAAGGUUCCCUCAGGUGGGAUGGCAAUCCACCGUGGAGUGUAACGGCACAAGGGAGCUUGACUGUAAGACCAACGCGUCGCACAGGGACGAAAGUCGGUCGUAGUGAUCCCAUAGUCCCGCGUGGAAGGGCUAUGGCUUAACGGAUAAAAGCUACCCCGGGGAUAACAGGCUCAGACCUCCCAAGAGUUCAUAUCGACGGAGGAGCGUGGCACCUCGAUGUCGGCUCGUCGCAUCCUGGGGCUGGAGUAGGUCCCAAGGG
rnacentral:rRNA from 1 species